rnacentral:ncRNA from 1 species
UGUCUCCUCCAUGUCUCCUUUUGAUAUGGAUUCAGCCCGCCGCCGUGCGGGCUUUUUCUU